rnacentral:rRNA from 1 species
UGGUGGAGUGAUUUGUCUGGUUAAUUCCGGUAACGAACGAGACCUUAACCUGCUAAAUAGUUACGAGAAUCUCGAUUCGUGGCUAACUUCUUAGAGGGACUGUUGGUGUUCAACCAAAGUCAGGAAGGCAAUAACA